rnacentral:rRNA from 1 species
AGCCAUGCCGCGUGGGUGAAGAAGGCCUUCGGGUUGUAAAGCCCUUUUGUUGGGAAAGAAAUCCAGCCGGCUAAUACCUGGUUGGGAUGACGGUACCCAAAGAAUAAGCACCGGCUAACUUCGUGCCAGCAGCCGCGGUAAUACGAAGGGUGCAAGCGUUACUCGGAAUUACUGGGCGUAAAGCGUGCGUAGGUGGUUAUUUAAGUCCGUUGUGAAAGCCCUGGGCUCAACCUGGGAACUGCAGUGGAUACUGGAUGACUAGAAUGUGGUAGAGGGUAGCGGAAUUCCUGGUGUAGCAGUGAAAUGCGUAGAGAUCAGGAGGAACAUCCAUGGCGAAGGCAGCUACCUGGACCAACAUUGACACUGAGGCACGAAAGCGUGGGGAGCAAACAGGAUUAGAUACCCUGGUAGUCCACGCCCUAAACGAUGCGAACUGGAUGUUGGGUGCAAUUUGGCACGCAGUAUCGAAGCUAACGCGUUAAGUUCGCCGCCUGGGGAGUACGGUCGCAAGACUGAAACUCAAAGGAAUUGACGGA